rnacentral:lncRNA from 1 species
GUUGUGUAUUUAACUCUGGUAGAUAUCUGUUAUAUUAUAGGUUUUAUACCUAUAUCCCCCCUUUUUUCCUUGAAACGUACCACAAACUUCAAAAGUAUUCCAUAUAAGAAAAAGAAGAUGUGAUAUAAUUGCAAAUGAGACAAUUACAUGUAACUCUCCAAAUGAGACCAAAUGAGACAUAAAUUAACAAUUAUAGGUCCCGUACGGGCUUCAACAAUGAGUAAAAGUUAUACUGCAUAGUCUUCAAUUCCCGAAAU